rnacentral:rRNA from 1 species
GAUGAACGCUGGCGGCGUGCCUAACACAUGCAAGUCGAACGGUAACAGGAAACAGCUUGCUGUUUCGCUGACGAGUGGCGGACGGGUGAGUAAUGUCUGGGAAACUGCCUGAUGGAGGGGGAUAACUACUGGAAACGGUAGCUAAUACCGCAUAACGUCGCAAGACCAAAGAGGGGGACCUUCGGGCCUCUUGCCAUCGGAUGUGCCCAGAUGGGAUUAGCUUGUUGGUGGGGUAACGGCUCACCAAGGCGACGAUCCCUAGCUGGUCUGAGAGGAUGACCAGCCACACUGGAACUGAGACACGGUCCAG